CCUGCCACGCGGGAGGCCCGGGUU
rnacentral:piRNA from 6 species